GUGUUUACUUUGGCAGCACAUAUGCUGAAAUUGGAACCACACAGAGAAGUUAGCAUGGCUUCUCUGCAAGGAUGACAUGCACAUUUGUGAAGCAUUCUAUAUUUUU
rfam:Canis lupus familiaris chromosome 5, whole genome shotgun sequence.